CACCUGGGGAGUACGGUCGCAAGAUUGAAACUCAAAGGAAUUGACGGGGGCCCGCACAAGCGGUGGAGCAUGUGGUUUAAUUCGAUGAUACGCGAGGAACCUUACCAGGGCUUAAAUGUUUUGACAGCUUUAGAGAUAGAGUUUUCUUCGGACAGAAUACAAGGUGCUGCAUGGUUGUCGUCAGCUCGUGCCGUGAGGUGUCAGGUUAAGUCCUAUAACGAGCGCAACCCUUGUCGUUAGUUGCCAGCAUUUCAAAUGGGGACUCUAGCGAGACUGCCGGUGCAAACCGGAGGAAGGUGGGGAUGACGUCAGAUCAUCACGGCCCUUACGUCCUGGGCCACACACGUGCUACAAUGGUAUAGACAAUGAGCAGCCACUACGCAAGUAGGCGCGAAUCUAUAAACUAUAUCACAGUUCGGAUCGGAGUCUGCAACUCGCUUAUAUGAAGGUGGAAUCACUAGUAAUCGCAAAUCAGCAUGUUGCGGUGAAUACGUAUCUUGGUCUUGAACACACCGCCCGUC
rnacentral:rRNA from 1 species